rnacentral:rRNA from 1 species
AUUGAACGCUGGCGGCAUGCCUUACACAUGCAAGUCGAACGGUAACGCGGGGCAACCUGGCGACGAGUGGCGAACGGGUGAGUAAUGCAUCGGAACGUGCCCAGUAGUGGGGGAUAGCCCGGCGAAAGCCGGAUUAAUACCGCAUACGACCUACGGGUGAAAGCGGGGGACCGUAAGGCCUCGCGCUAUUGGAGCGGCCGAUGUCAGAUUAGGUAGUUGGUGGGGUAAAGGCCUACCAAGCCUUCGAUCUGUAGCUGGUCUGAGAGGACGACCAGCCACACUGGGACUGAGACACGGCCCAGACUCCUACGGGAGGCAGCAGUGGGGAAUUUUGGACAAUGGGCGCAAGCCUGAUCCAGCCAUGCCGCGUGCGGGAAGAAGGCCUCGGUUGUAACG